CUUAUACUCUUACCUCUUACCCCUCACUUUCACCCCUCUCUCCUCUCCUCUCUUUCCUUUCUUUGUCCCUCUCCUCUUCUCUCUCCUCCCCCCUCCCUUCUCUCUUUCCCCCUGCAUUUCUAUAAUAAAGCUCUUGAACCAUAAAGAGUUUCUGCUCCAUCAAGAUCCACUGCACACUCUGGGGCAUAUGACACCAGAACCGCAGUGAUACAGAAAUGACCAAUGGAGAAAACUUUGAAGGGUCAAGCCACUGGGACAGCUGGAUUCCUAAUGAACCUGGAACCCGGAAUAUUCCUGCUGCUGAGCAGAAGCCCAAGUGGAGAAGAAGGCCAAGGGGACGCUUCUGCGAGGCUGUUUUCAUCCUGAAGAUCCUGGCCUGUGGACAACGCUCCGCUGUUUUAGCACAGUUCAGUGCAAACUCUUUCACCUACAUCUGAGAAGCCAUGGCAGGCAAACCACACCUUGGGCUCUGAAGGGCAUGGUCCUUCAUCCUUGUUCUUUACAUGAUAAAGGGGCAGAAGGCGAAGAAGAACCUUUGUACCUUCCUGCUCUCAACUUCCCAAGGAGAUUAGAACACAACCCUAGCUGGGCCUUGAAAACCAGCAAUACUCUACUUAAUACUUUAAAUUGUAAAGGGACUGCUUUGACUGUAAAGUGAAACCAUUUUGAAUGCAGGAAAAAAAUAAGAUUAAAUGUAUACAAGUAAUUCCAGGAGCAAUCUUAAUAGUGGCAUAGCAAGACCGCUGUAGAACAUGAUCUAUGCCUGUACAUCUAUGUUAAAUGAAUCUAUUCCUGGAUGGAAAGGUAUCAAUCACAGAGAUGAUUUUGAUUCCUAGUCUAGAUUCCAUGGGAGUGAGGUAACAUUUCUAUAGAAGACCAUACAUCCUACUGCUACAGUUCCAAAGAGCUGAUUACUGCCACCAGCCUUUAGAAAACAAAAGUGGCUCGGGAUCAAGCCAUCCUCAGGCUCCCUUCAAGCAAGAUGACUCCACUUCUGAAUUCCCUUGCAUGGCUGGAAUGGAAUGCACACCUGAGACAAACUCCUGUGCCUCCCUAAGGUCUCCAGUCCUGUCAUCCUCGUGCUCCCUUUUGUCCUGUGUCCAGCACCAACAACAGGUGCCAGGAAGAACGCAGAAGUGUCCUAUCUUGGGACACCUCGACUCCCAGCGCUGCCAUUUUCAUGUGAGCAACUAUGAACUUUCAACUUCACCUCCGUGACUGGGCAGGAUUUCACAUGUAAAGUCUAGGAUUUACUAAAAGCACAAUGCUUGUCCAGUUAUGGGUUUCACAAUGGAUUAAAAAUUUAAACCUAAAAAAAAAUACAACAACUGAUUGGUAAUACACAAAAUAACUGUAUAGAAGUGCAAAUAAGAGAAAGCCGAAGAGAAAGGAUCUGUAGCCCUCCUCCUCCUCCUCACAAAAGGUGCAUUAGUUAUAAAGUUGUCCAAAUCAUCAAAGCAAAGGAACUCAAGAGCAAAGACACCUGUACAGAAACUAACAAAAAUAUAUAAUAGAAAAGGUUACUAAUGCACCGUUUAGUCACAGACUGUUUUUUAAAUAUAUUCACGGAUUACCAGAAAGAUCUUGAAAAACCCUAUUUUGUUCCAUGACCAGCACCUCCUGGCCGCGGAUGGAUUCUAAGUAACUUUUUGCUUAAUGCCCGGUGUUUCAGGUCGGUGGUCUUUUCUCUCUGACACGUUGCGCUUGACCUUGGCAGUGACUGGAGAUGCAUCUGGGUUGAGGGAGGGACUUGAGUGUGACUUCUUCAGUCCCACGGGCUCAUUUCCAUCGGUAGUCAGGAGCUCUUUGCCUCCUUCUUUCAGAACGCUGACAUAAAUCUCAUAACGGGUUUUCUAAAGGCAAAAUCAGAGAAGUGUGGUCAGUACAGUUUACAAUUACAUGUGUGUAGCACACCUAGCAUGUUCUUACACAUGACAUCAUACGUUUUUGAAUAUUUGACUUUAUCCCAAGCUGACAAAAUACUUCUGUACCCAUAACUGUGAAACGAUGACUGCCUCAUUUAUUCAAGUAAGAAACUAACCUACAAUUUCCAUUAGUAUCAGCCAAUUCUCAGCCUCAAGAGUAUGAAGAGUGGUUGCCAGGAAACAAGAUGAGGCCCACGGCACGUGGAAUUCCUUCCUGGUGUUUUUCUCAUUCUACACCAUUUCUUUUGUGACUGGCCGUUUAAGGAAUGGCAUCUCUGUUUCAGAUAGCCCCUUACUUUCCCUCCCCCAUCUCUCUUGUGCUACGAUAUUUUAUUUUCAAAUCAUAUCCUAGCCCCAACAGUGUUGUUUCUGUCCAAGGAACUUGUCUAGAACUGUUGCAUAGACAUUUUGAAAAUUACAGAUUUCUGAUUUGAUACAUUCUAGCCAAACUAUGCUUUUCAGCAUGCCACUUCAACACAGGAGGACUCUGGGUCUAGCUCAAUGUAAGGAUCAGUUACCUAUUGUAACUAUCUUAAGUACUGCAUGAGACACAUCUUGAAAUAAGCAACGUCUUCAUCUUCUAAUUGCUGUUGUUUUUAAGGAAGCAAAGCCAAACACUGAGGCUGAGGACAAGGCCAUCAAACGACUUUGAAGAUGCUGCUGCUUCAAGCACAUAGCUGUCUCCCAGCAUAGCUCAGCCCUCUGUGCUCCACUGAUGGGAGCUUUGUGUUUAUUCUGUCUGCAAACCAUCUGUCUUCCUUCUAAAUCUUCAUAUAUUUUCUAAAGUACCUUGGAAGCUUGGAAAUCAGUGAAAACACUAACUUCUAGGACAUUCUGUGAAAAUCAACAAGCAAGUGCAGGACCUUGGACUUACUGCAUUGGGGACCAUGGGAUCCACUAAAGACCCAAGGACAGACUAAUAUAACUUCAAAAUACAGCCAACUCACAGAAAAGAUGCUUUGAGGAUCUGAGUGUGACUGUCAAGAGCGAAGGCUGGAGAAUGCUGGCACUGACUUGCGAGCAACCUUAGAUGAAGGGCGCCCCAGGGAUAAGGCUUUCAGCUUGG
rnacentral:lncRNA from 1 species